AUAUGAAGGCGGGCUGGAACCUCUCGGGGUUACAGCCUUGCUGAAUUAUUCACCCUUUUGUCUUGCGUACUUCUUGUUUCCUUGGUGGGUUCGCCCACCACUAGGACAAACAUAAACCUUUUGUAAUUGCAAUCAGCGUCAGUAACAAAUUAAUAAUUACAACUUUCAACAACGGAUCUCUUGGUUCUGGCAUCGAUGAAGAACGCAGCGAAAUGCGAUAAGUAGUGUGAAUUGCAGAAUUCAGUGAAUCAUCGAAUCUUUGAACGCACAUUGCGCCCUUUGGUAUUCCAAAGGGCAUGCCUGUUCGAGCGUCAUUUGUACCCUCAAGCUUUGCUUGGUGUUGGGCGUCUUGUCUCUAGCUUUGCUGGAGACUCGCCUUAAAGUAAUUGGCAGCCGGCCUACUGGUUUCGGAGCGCAGCACAAGUCGCACUCUCUAUCAGCAAAGGUCUAGCAUCCAUUAAGCCUUUUUUUCAACUUUUGACCUCGGAUCAGGUAGGGAUACCCGC
rnacentral:rRNA from 1 species